rnacentral:rRNA from 1 species
GACGAACGUUGGCGGCGUGCUUAACACAUGCAAGUCGAACGGAAAGGCCCUGCUUUUGUGGGGUGCUCGAGUGGCGAACGGGUGAGUAACACGUGAGUAACCUGCCCUUGACUUUGGGAUAACUUCAGGAAACUGGGGCUAAUACCGGAUAGGAGCUCCUGCUGCAUGGUGGGGGUUGGAAAGUUUCGGCGGUUGGGGAUGGACUCGCGGCUUAUCAGCUUGUUGGUGGGGUAGUGGCUUACCAAGGCUUUGACGGGUAGCCGGCCUGAGAGGGUGACCGGCCACAUUGGGACUGAGAUACGGCCCAGACUCCUACGGGAGGCAGCAGUGGGGAAUAUUGCACAAUGGGCGGAAGCCUGAUGCAGCAACGCCGCGUGCGGGAUGACGGCCUUCGGGUUGUAAACCGCUUUCGCCUGUGACGAAGCGUGAGUGACGGUAAUGGGUAAAGAAGCACCGGCUAACUACGUGCCAGCAGCCGCGGUGAUACGUAGGGUGCGAGCGUUGUCCGGAUUUAUUGGGCGUAAAGGGCUCGUAGGUGGUUGAUCGCGUCGGAAGUGUAAUCUUGGGGCUUAACCCUGAGCGUGCUUUCGAUACGGGUUGACUUGAGGAAGGUAGGGGAGAAUGGAAUUCCUGGUGGAGCGGUGGAAUGCGCAGAUAUCAGGAGGAACACCAGUGGCGAAGGCGGUUCUCUGGGCCUUUCCUGACGCUGAGGAGCGAAAGCGUGGGGAGCGAACAGGCUUAGAUACCCUGGUAGUCCACGCUGUAAACGGUGGGUACUAGGUGUGGGGUCCAUUCCACGGGUUCCGUGCCGUAGCUAACGCUUUAAGUACCCCGCCUGGGGAGUACGGCCGCAAGGCUAAAACUCAAAGGAAUUGACGGGGCCCCGCACAAGCGGCGGAGCAUGCGGAUUAAUUCGAUGCAACGCGUAGAACCUUACCUGGGUUUGACAUGGAUCGGGAGUGCUCAGAGAUGGGUGUGCCUCUUUUGGGGUCGGUUCACAGGUGGUGCAUGCCUGUCGUCAGCUCGUGUCGUGAGAUGUUGGGUUAAGUCCCGCAACGAGCGCAACCCUUGUUCACUGUUGCCAGCACGUUAUGGUGGGGACUCAGUGGAGACCGCCGGGGUCAACCCGGAGGAAGGUGGGGAUGACGUCAAGUCAUCAUGCCCCUUAUGUCCAGGGCUUCACGCAUGCUACAAUGGCUGGUACAGAGAGUGGCGAGCCUGUGAGGGUGAGCGAAUCUCGGAAAGCCGGUCUCAGUUCGGAUUGGGGUCUGCAACUCGACCUCAUGAAGUCGGAGUCGCUAGUAAUCGCAGAUCAGCAACGCUGCGGUGAAUACGUUCCCGGG